rnacentral:rRNA from 1 species
ACCCGCCGAAUUUAAGCAUAUCAUAAAGCG